UCCAGGCGCGGUAGCACGUGCCUGUAGUCCCAGCUACCCAGGAGGCUGAGGCUAGAGGAUCACUUGAGUCCAGGAGUUCUGGGCUGUGGUGCCCUAUGCUGAUCAGGUGUCUGUACUAAGUUCGGCAUCAAUAUGGUGACCUCCCAGGAGCGGGGGACCACCAGGUUGCCUAAGGAGGGGUGAACCGGCCCAGGCUGGAAACGGAGCAGGUCAAAACUCCCGUGCUGAUCAGUAGUGGAAUCGCGCCUGUGAAUAGCCACUGCACUUCAGCCUGGGCAACAUAGUAAGACCCUGUCUCUU
rnacentral:SRP_RNA from 2 species